GCCUUCGUGGUGUAGUGGUCAGCACACUCGGCGCGUAUUCGAGAGGUCCGUGGUUCGAGUCCAGUCGAGGGCA
rnacentral:tRNA from 1 species